CGCAGUCUGAACCGCCACAUCAGAUUCAGAGAAAGAGGUCUGUCUCUUCUGGACUGAGUAAAGAAAGAAGUAUCAAAUAAGUAACACAGUCAGAGAUGUCGUGACGUGGCUGUAAUUUGUGUUUCUGGUUUUCUCUGAUGAGCUGAGCUAGUGUCAGUCAAUGUUUUCAUUUUAGUACAAUUCCCACAUUACUUACCAAACCUAAAAGAAUACAGUAAUCCUCACCUGCAGCUGGAGCACAGCUGGCUCCCACGUGACCGGCCUCAAAAGAAAGCAUACCUAAACCUAAACCUCAACUGACAGUUGGCCUCGUAGAUUUGCUGUUGUGACCUUUACAGAAAAGGAUCAGGGUGUCUGCAAAGGGCUUUAGAGAAGCACAAUUCAGUCUGCAAUACACUGCCUCUUCCAAACGAGGGCGCCCUUCUUUCGUUUUUCUUGGCAUUUGCUGUGUUUGUGUGUCAUCAUGUGUUCAUGAAAGUGGAUUUGUUUUCAUUGAGAUGAGACCCGACCGGCAAGCGUUUCUCUGAGUGCUGAUGCCUGUUUUGUUUUUUUGUUUUUUUAAAUUUAAUUAUUUUUUUAUGUGUAUGUGUGCAUACCCUUUCCUUCCCUCCAUAGUAAUAAUUAGCUUACAAACCUUUUUUCAAUUUAAUUUUUUUGCAAUGACAUGGAUGCCUCAGAAACAUGUAAAACAUCAGACUUUACAGGCUACGAACACUUUUUUUGUAUUGAAGAAAAAAAAAAAAACAGUGAGAGGAUGUAUAAAUAUGUUCGGAGUUAUUUUUGUAAGCCCAAAGUUUUACAGUGUUUUUAAAGGGUAAGAAUGUAUAUUGUUGGACAUGAAAACAGGUCGGGAUUGUAAGAGGCUGUAUUUGGGGUAUAACUGGCGUUAGGAAUAAAGACAUUUUGGCUGUUGAAGGUGACCCCGCAGACGAGCCUUUUCAUACUCGAGGCUCUCUCAUUGCAAACUAAUUUCCUCAAUGCUGACCUAAUAAUUCGAGAAUAUAUAUUUAUAGUGAGAUUUUUUUUUUUAAAAAAAUAGGGUUCCUUGUGGAAUGUUUAGUUGAAAUGAUUUUAGGAUGUUCUUUCUCACAUGGCUAAUUGUCUAGCAGUCUGGCUUUUAUUUUAUUGCCCUUUUUUUUUCUUCUUCUUUAAUUUGUAAAUGAGGUUUUAUUUGCUGCAGCAACCAUUUCCUGUGCCAGGUGAUAUUGACCCAGCUCAUUUCCUCCAAACCAGAAGAGAAAUGGCUCAGAAUUAGUUUGGUGACAAAACCGAUCCGAUUAUAUUUUUCUAUAUCGUUGACACUGUCGUUUCUGUGAGAGCAGAAGAUUCCUCCUCAGAAACAUUAACAUGGAAUACUUUUGAGUUGCAUGGGACUGAAAAUGUUGCAUGUAAAUGGCAAAACAUUCUACCAAAUUUGUGCAUUAUCUGAGCUUAAUUUCAGCUGUCCUGGUAUUUUAGUUGGUUUUAUUUUAUUUAUUUUAUUUUUAUCGAAUAAAUAUUUUUCUUUUUUCCUUUUAGUUUUGAGAGGAGAGCUCUAAGGCUGUGUGACAGUGCAAUCUGGACAGAAAGAACAUCAGAUUUUAUGUUAGGUUGUUAUUAUUAUUAUAAUUAUUAAUUUUUUUGCACCGUUUGAAUAAAUUCUCAUUGUAUUAAAGAAAGCUUUG
ensembl:lncRNA